AUGGCUACCGCUCCUCCUCCUCCUCCUCUUCCUCCUCCUCUUCCUCCUCCUCUCCCUCCUCCUCCUCUUCCUCCUCCUCCUCCUCCCACUAUGGCUACCGGUCCUCUUCCUCCGCCUCCUCCUCUUCCUCCUCCCACUGUGGCUCCUCCUCCUGCUCCUCCUCCUCCUCUUCCUCCUCCUCAUAUGGCUCCUCCUCCCACCCCUCCUCCUCCCGCUCCUCCUCUUCCCGCUCCUCCUCCUCCUCUUACUAUGGGUACUGUUUCCACUCCCCCCACUCCCCCUCCUCCUCCUCCUCUUCCUCCUCCCACUAUGGCUACUGCUACCGCUCCUCCUCCCGCUCCUCCUCCUGCUGCUCCUCCUCCUCUUCCUCCUCCCACUAUGGCUACUGCUUCUACUCCUCCUCCCGCUCCUCCUCCUCUUCCUCCUCCUCCUAUGGCUACUGUUACCGCUCCUCCUCCUCCUCCUCCUCUCCAUCCUCCUCCUCCUCCCAAUAUGGCUCCUCCUCCUCUUCCUGCUCCUCCUAUGGCUACUGUUUCCACUCCUCUUCCUCCUCCUCCUCCUCCCAAUACGGCUACUGUUCCCGCUCCUCCUCCUCCACCAUGGCUACUGCUUCUGCUCUUCCUCCUCCUCCCACUCCUCCUCCUCUUCCUCCUCCUCCCCUGGCUACCGUUACCGCUCCUCCCGUUCCUCCUCCUCCUCCUCCUCCUCCUCCUCCUCCUCCCAGGACGGCUCCCCUCACCGUCAUUCGGAAACCCGUUGCUAUUAGGACGACUCCCAUCGCCGUCAUCCCCGAAACCCGUUGCUAUUAGGAAGACUCCCACCGCCGCCGUUCCGAAACCCAUUACCAUCAGGACGACGUCCAUCGCCGUCAUCCCAACGCUCAUUACUAUUAUUCCGACUUCUAUCGCUAUUAUUCCGACACUUAUUACCACUAGUGUUCCCGCUGUUGCUUUUACUAGUAUCGCGGUACUCAUCGCCGCUAAGACCACCGCUACGCCUAGCACUCUUAGUACGGCACCGAUCGCUACGAUUAACACUAAUCCCCGCUGCUGUCAUCGCGGCGCUUGCGACCACUCUGACGACUGA
rnacentral:lncRNA from 1 species